UACAGCCUAAAAUUUUACAUCUAUUUGUCUAAUGUAGUCAAGAAAUAAGUGGAAACGGCACCCUACUUUUUUAUGACAAUAAUGAACUCUGCCUAAUACCAUUACCAAUUAUUGUGAAUGUUCUGUGUCUGUAAAAAUCGUCUUCUCGGAAACCUGGUAAACAGCAGUGAUAUUGCACUUGCUAACCAUAUUUUAACUUUUUACAUCAAAAGCUAUAUUAUAAGUAGCUUUGUUCUGUACUUUUCCUUCUUGUUGGUUGGAUUUCUAUAACAUAACUUCUGAGUUGUCUAGUUUCCUUCGCCAACUCUCUGCUUUAAGUCUGUUCAUACGUAUAGUAUAGAGUAUAUUGAAUUAUGAUUCAAAAUUCUAACAAAAUAAUGCUUUGGAUUUCUGGAUUUCUCAAGGUGGCUUUUAAACUAUCAAUAUGCCCUCCUAUCUCAAUUGAUGUGUGCGUGAUUUUGUUAAGUUUCAUCAACGACAAAGUGUAUGCAGAAUGGAUGAAGAGGUAAGAAGAAACAAUUAGUGAAACAUGGUGCAAUGGAGGAUGACCUUCCAAAUUUGUUCCUAUUUCUCUCAUCACCAUCACCAUAAUAAGUCGCUCCACUGAUCUAAAAUUUUAUCAAAAAGUCUGCAGGCAAAUACUUUCAACAUCUGCUCUCAAAAUGUUUGCGUACCUCUUAAAAUAUCUAAUAGAUAGGAAAUUCAUGUCACCACUACCAAAGUAAUAAUGUAUAGAGCUGUCCUAUUACUCGCUGGUUUAAGAAGCGCAUGUUUUUUAUAAUUAGUAUAAUAAUUAUACUAAUUAUUAUAUAAGUCGAGUCUCGUGUGGCUGAUUGUAGGCAUACCAAUAAUUUUCUUUUGGUAAAGGAGUGUCAAAAAUUACGAUUUCAAACUUUAAUUGUGGGUGCGGACCAUUCUGACGGUUUCUUGUGAAACAUAUUUAUGUGUAUGUAGUAUUAGCAUUGGCGUAAGCAAAUGAGGGGUUGUCCCCUGCAUAUUUUAAUCAAACUGUAAAAGAUUGAAGGGUAGAUUCUAUAUUCUGCAUGAUCUCGUGUAUUAUUACGCAGUAUUGUGCUAUUAUGAUCACAAAUGCUAUUUUCGAAACAGAGUAUAAUGUAGAAAUAACGACUGAAUGUUAAUGUUCAUGUAUGUGAAUGUAAACCUUUCCAUUUUUUCUGCUUUGCAUGUAUUGCUUUGGUGUGUGGUUAUUGUUGCUGUUUUCACUUAAUUUGUCACCAAUUGUUAAUCGUAGAUUGUAGACCACAUGACACUACAACUACAGCGCUAAUAUGUAUUAGUGUCACGUACUCCUGCAUUCCAAUUAUAAGA